CAUCCCUCUUUCUUUUAAAGAUCUACUUACACCCUGUGUUUUACCCAUUUAGAUGGGUCAACUAAUGUCCACACAUCAUUGACCUUCAUAGACUCCAUUUCAAACUUCAUGGCUUCAAGCCACUUAUCGAAGUCAGAUCUCUGUAUUGCAUCCAUAUAGGUGAUUGGAACCACAUUAUUCUUAUCGAGUUUAAUAGGAUCAUGAUCCUGGACCAAGAAACCAUAGUAUCU
rnacentral:lncRNA from 1 species